rnacentral:tRNA from 1 species
UUACUAACCUUUAAUUAAAAUAUAGGUUUUGUAAUCCUGUGAUAAUUUUAUUAGUUA